UACCCGUGGGUGGUUUAUCCAGGUGGCUGAUAAACCAUGGAUGUUGGGAUGCAGAAGCCGCUCAGAUCUAGCCAAGUUUAUUAACUCUUAUGUAGUGUUGCUCUGCUGCUGUUUGGGCCAGCUGGGAUUCAGGAAAGAAGCAGUCACCUCUGUACCAGGACACUGACUGUGCACUACCAUAGACCCAGUGUAAUGGGGCACCUCAUGACACAGAAGGUGAUGUUGCAUCAGCACACUGGCAGGAUGCAGAACAAUGGGGAGAAACUGGCACCUUCUGAAAGAAAAUUAAGCGACCUGUGUCAGAC